rnacentral:rRNA from 1 species
CAGCCGCCGCGGUAAUACCGGCAGCACGAGUGAUAGCCACUAUUAUUGGGCCUAAAGCGUCCGUAGCCGGCUAGACAGGUCCGUCGGGAAAUCCACCCGCUCAACGGGUGGGCGUCCGGCGGAAACCAGCUAGCUUGGGACCGAGCGACCUGAGGGGUACGUCCGGGGUAGGAGUGAAAUCCCGUAAUCCCGGACGGACCAUCGGUGGCGAAAGCGCCUCAGGAGAGCGGAUCCGACGGUGAGGGACGAAAGCUAGGGUCUCGAACCGGAUUAGAUACCCGGGUAGUCCUAGCCGUAAACGAUGCUCGCUAGGUGUGGCGCUGGCUACGAGCCAGCGCUGUGCCGUAGGGAAGCCGUGAAGCGAGCCGCCUGGGAAGUACGUCCGCAAGGAUGAAACUUAAAGGAAUUGGCGGGGGAGCAC